AUAAAUCCACAACCCACAUUGUAUUCUCUCUUGCAGCUCCAGCCUCUUCGAAUUUUCUCGCGCACAUUCACAAAAACAGCAGGUGAUACGGCUGGAGAAAGGUACUCCGGUAAUGAUGCUUACAGGAGACAUACCAAACUAUUUACAUUAAGAACUUAAAUGAGAAAGUCAAGAAAGAAGGUAACUUUUUUCUUUUUCUCUUAUUAUUUCAAGAUUGAAGCUAGGGUUUAGCAAAAUUAUACAUUUGUUAAGAAAUCAGUAAUUGUUAAAAGCUGCAAAAUUUCAGCUGUUUGUUAGCUGAUGUUUUGAACCCUAGUAUGUUAGCGGUGGGGAUAAGUGUGAGGUUUACAGAACUCCAAUUUUGCCGUAAAAACACAAAUUUCUGCAGUAUUGGAAUAGAAUGUGUUAGAGCACACACUAUAUAGAUGUGAACUACUAGAACUCGGUAAUUACAAUGUUAAUAUAUUAGUUCAGUAGUUGCAUCAGUUGAAAGACAAUGUAAUUUGAUCAAAUUAUGCUCAAUGAAUUUGCCGUCUCUUGACUACACGAUUAGAAACUUGCGGUUCUCCAAACUGUAAUGUGUUCUAUUAUCGAAGGAUGAUAUAAAAGCAUGUAGGUAUGGUUUACUUCGACACUCUGGCAUGUGCUUUACUGAAAAAGUUUGGCCGUUAAUGCAAGUGUUUUUGUUAGGAGGGAAUCACACUGACUGUUGUUAUUUGAUUAUGCAUACUUAGAGGUAGUUAGAUUGAAUUUUUUGGUAUUUACAGGUUCUUUUGGCUUUAAAAUGUGUGAUAAGUAGUUACUUUUAUUCUUAUUGGUUUUCUACUUGAUUUGCAACAUUCAUGAAUCCUGCAUGAUAUUCUCUUUUUUUUUCUCCCCAAAGUCCUUUCAUGAACAUCAGGGCAAAAUACUCUUAGAUGUUCAUCCAGCUUUCUGGUGAUCAUUUUUUUUUAUAGUUUUUUUACAUAUUCG
rnacentral:lncRNA from 1 species